CGGCCAUGCAGAUGGCGCCUCUGACGUGAGGCUCCAGCACCCGUUUAAGUCCUCAGUUUUACCGUAAGGACCCAGAUUCAUCUACAGGGCCAGAGUGUGACCUCAAGAGGGUGGUGUCAGCUCAAAGGCCACUCAGCUGCUCUCAGCUGUCUUUGCUGGAAUGGAAAGAGAUCUUGUUGUAAGAGGAGCGUUGGAUGAACCAGCCCCAACCCAGGGUCUAGAGUUUGAGGAGUGACAAGGGCAGAUCUCUAAGGAAGCGAAACUCCUCUGAGACCCGACAGGGAACCAGCUUCCUCGAGGAACCUGAGUGAAAGGAGGACCUGUCACCUGAGCCUCCUCAGGUCAUCCAUCGUCCUCGAAGGAUCCAUCCUGAGGCAUCAACUGAAAAUUAUGGCUCCUGAGAAAGAAUAAAGCACACUGUUCACUGCCAGGAUGAGUGUCCCUGUGGCAGCAUCUAGAGCUUGCCUGUUGCUCCUGCUAACGACCUCUGUCCCCCGUGUGGCCCUUUCUUUCUGUCACUUCUGUAGCUGUACUGUUGACAACUCUUCUCUAGGUGUCUCUGAAGCCCUGAAAGGCCUCUCAGCUUGGCAUGGCCCCCCGCCCCGCCCCAGCUCGCUCUCUUGAUGCCCAUGUGUGUGACUUGACAGCAUUCCUGCCUUGCUGGCCCACUGCCCCACUCCAAGGAAGGACGCUCUCAAGGUCCAGGUCCCUGGCAGGUAAACAGCAAAGUUUCAGAUUCACAGACAUCCUCUCCCUCCUGCACCAACUGCCCACCAGGAAAGUGGGAGCUUGGCGCUGCUUGCAAAGGACUAGGUGAUGUAUGAGCCUGUCUGCGGGCGCCAGGUCCUGAUCUGUGUCCCUGUGAAUAAGAAGCCACUUAAGAGUGUCAGGCAAUCAGGGACUGCCCCUCCUCCUGCCUUCGACCUUGCCUCAGCUUUUGUGGAGUCUGUGGGGUGAUGUGAUAGAGGCUGUGUAGUCAGAUCAGCACCACAGAGGGAGAACAUGGAGAUGGUGUGGUCUCUCCUCCCCAACAGCGUAUUCUGUGUUGCUAGUGUGAGUGCUGCCCAGGGACCCACGAGAUCAGUGUUGACCAAUAGAACUGGGUGAAGGACGUGGGAAUUUGGGUCAGAGACUUCUAUCAGAAGAUGAAAGUCAUCCAGGCAGAGCCUACUGAUUCUGUCCCACACAAUCCACUCUGCCCUCAGUGAAUGAGCAUCAAGUCGAUGGUGAAUGUGGCAUUGACCUAUACCUGCUUUGAGCAUGGGUCUGUCUCCUGCCCUGUGCCCCAGUGUUAAACACACCAUCCUGGUGACAGUGUUAUGUCCCUGUAGGAGAACAUGGAUGCUGGCACAUCUGAGAUUUACCCCGGGGAGAGCAGAGCCUCGCAUGAGACAUGAGUGCAGUCAGCAUCCAGGCUUUGCAGGGCACACCACAUCCCAGGACACCACACGUGAGGGUAGCCAAGGGAGGCCACUGUUGCUAGCUUCUCUUGCCUCCUGUCCCUAACCAGCUUGGUCACUUUCCAGAGUCAUUUCCCCUGGCCUCCAGGUUGGGACAUCUGGCAGGAUCCAGGAAUCCUGACGUCACACUCACAAUUUAACUGUCCACAUGUUUUCUUUCUGUGUAGAACAGGAAACAGUGAGACAGUGUCCAGGCAAUUUCGUCCCAGAUGUGUGACAUACAGGAUCUUAGAUAGCUGCGAGCUGACAGGCCUUUCUACACAAAAGCCCUCACAGUCCUUCCCGAUUGCUUUGAUAGGCUCUGGGCAGGACUCGGAGGUUGAGGUCUGCAGCACUGGGUGAUGGGGUAUACCUUGAGACAUGCAAAGUCCCAAAGCACGAACAGGCUACCUAGAAAGUUCUUCAGGUGAAAUGGAGACAAUAGCUCCUGGAACUAAGCCCUUCGCACCUACCAUUCUGAAACCCAAGAAUGGUUCCCUGGUUGAUAAAGGCUGCAGUAUGUCUCCCAGAGCCUCUCUUCACGCUCACCAUGGGCUUGUUUCCCCAGGGCGGCUGGGCAGUGGGUAGCACAGUGUUUGCUGGGUAUUGCAGAGCAAGGAAGGGUGUGAAUGGCCUUGAGAAAGCCCUUCGCAAUCCAGGGCCCUACAGGCCUGCAGGGGAGAGACCCAGCAGAGAAUAGGAAUCUGAUGGGUGAGACCAUUUUCCUUAAGCAAGGCUGGCAGGACUGUGUGCGUGCGUGCGUGUGUGUGUGUGUGUGUGUGUGUGUGUGUGUGUGUGUGUAACAUGCUAAUCAAUACUAUCUUUUGAAGAGAGGAAAGGAGGUUGGUUCCUGACAGAGUUGUGAGGAGGAUGGAGAGGAGAAGACCCUGGCGCAGACCCCCACCUGGCCCCACCUCCUGCGAGGUGUCAGGGCAACAUCAGUGGAAUGAGAACCCUGCUGAGCACAUGGGGCAGCUGUUUCCGUGGGACCUGCUGUCCUGACCUGGGAGUGCCAUGCUGGGGACAUGCUGAGGACCACAGGAGGUGCAGGAGUGGCCUCCAGGGGCACAGCCCACCUCCACUGACCCCCUGGCUCCCUGAGGCAGAGACACGGGUGCAGAGCUGGCCUAUCACAUGCUCUUUCCUGGUACCCUGAGUUUUUGGGUGAAUGAAGAAAAGGAGGGAGGAGAGAGAGGGUGGUGACUCCUCCAGGGGACAUGCCCCAGGAUCUGAGCUUAGGGUGGAGCUGCUACGCCCUGGCCACCAUGGCUUCUGGUUUUCCAACCUGGUCUCCCCACCCUGUGAAGAGCCCACUAUCACACAUUGUCCUGGCGGCUGAGGACCUUGGCUGUACCUCAGCCCGUUUGUUGGCCAGUGAGAAUGUUUCUGGACACCCUACACUCCUUUUCUGGACAACCGUAGGAUGUGUGGACAGGAUGACUGUGGGCCCCAGGCCCCUUCUCCAUACAGAAAGAGGGCACACAGAGCCAGCUAUGGCGAGUCAUGCAGCAUGAGCCUAGAGUGUGUGAGCUCUGGGUUCCCACAAUACGGAGGCAGGACAGGGAUGCAGAUAAAAGGGGCCCAUGAACUAGCUUUUCCAGACCAGACCAAAUCUUUAAUUUUCUUAGUCCCGAUUUUCAACUUUAAAGUCAUGACUCUAGGAACUGGAGAGGUGGCUCAGUGGUUAAGAGCACUUGCUGUUCUCCCAGAGGACCAGGGUUCGAUUCCCAAAUGCCCACAUAAUGGCUCACAACUAUCUGUGAGUCCUGUUCUAGGGGACCUGACUCCCUCUUCUGAGCUCCUCCAGCAGCACACAUGCGUGUGGUGCACAGACGCACAUGCAGGCAAAAUACCAAUACACAUAUAAAAAUAAAAGAUAGAAAGCAUUUAAAAACCAGGACUGCUAUUUUGCUUCAUUUAAAUUUGAGAUAAGUUAAUAUAAAAUUCACUCUGUAAAAGAAGAAGUUAAUUGAAGUUAUUGACUUUUGUUUUUAAAGAUAGGAUCUCACUAUAUAGCUCUGGCUGUCCUGGACCUUACUAUGUAGACCAGGUUAGCCUCUAACUCGUAGCUAUCUGUCUGCCUUUUGAGUGCUGGGAUUAAAGGCAAGCAGCACCACGCUCAGCACUGAGUGGUCUUUAACAUUUGCAAGGUUUACAUUCAAUGUCGAUUUUCUAGUGGCAGAACACAUGUCACCAUGUGCCCAUAGGCACUGCUCACGCUCACCCAGGUGUCCUAUGGGAUCACUGACUUAUUUCCAGUUCCCAUGGACAUGGCUAUUUGAGACAUGUCAUAGACACAGAAGCAUGUGACCAUGUGCUGGCCUUUUUCACUUGGCGUGAGGUUCUCCAGAGUGUGACCCAGUCUUUCACCUCUUUUGCGUUAAGUGAAGGGCAUCUCUCUCUCUCUCUUCACCUCUUUUGCGUUAAGUGAAGGGCAUCUCUCUCUCUCUCUUCUCUCUCUCUCUCUCUCUCUCUCUCUCGUUUUAGUUUUAAGUGAGGAAUACAAGCAAACAUCCCGAGUGCCCCAUCCCCACCCUAACUGUCAUCAGCUUGGGAGUCAGGGGCCCUGAGCUCAGUGGAACAGAGUCAACCCCAGGCCCUUUGCACAGACCACUUGGAGAUCUGCAACUGGGAUAUGAGAGCCCGAGUUGGCUGUCACCACCAACGCCAUCCAGUGGGGUCCUGGGUGGAAUCUCUAAACUGAACUUCAU
rnacentral:lncRNA from 1 species